rnacentral:rRNA from 1 species
UACGUAGGGUGCAAGCGUUAAUCGGAAUUACUGGGCGUAAAGCGUGCGCAGGCGGCGAUGUAAGACAGAUGUGAAAUCCCCGGGCUCAACCUGGGAACUGCAUUUGUGACUGCAUGGCUGAGUAGCGGCAGAGGGGGAUGGAAUUCCGCGUGUAGCAGUGAAAUGCGUAGAUAUGCGGAGGAACACCGAUGGCGAAGGCAAUCCCCUGGGCCUGCUAGACGCUCAUGCACGAAAGCGUGGGGAGCAAACAGG